GCUCCAAGAAAUAUUUAAGAAAUGACUUAAGACAAAAUAUUCUUCUCUGAUUAUACUUCAUACGUUGUUUAUGGCAGUCUUAAAUUGAUUAUUUAUGGACAUAAGAUAAUACAAUAUUACAUUUAAAUUGUAUUUUCACUCCUUUAGAAUCUUUUUGAGGAGGUGUCUCUUUUCACACUUUCCGAGAAUUAGAGAAGCUUUAACCAGGCCAGAUCUUUAACAUACUUCCAAAGUAAAAGAAUUGCUCAAAUCAUUUAGACUCUGGUCUACAUUACUUUCCGUUAUCUUAUUGACUAGUAUCUGACUAUUCAGAUUGUCUUUAAGAGUGUUGUCUUAUUUUUCUUCUUCACUUUGACAGUGAAUCUCUAGUUAUUUAUCUAUAGUUUAGCUGUUUUGUGUGUUGGCAGAAAACAAAUACAAUUUAUAUCUAAACUAUUUCCCUACAUAGGAUUUUUGAAGGGUGAAUUCCCACCCACAAACUAUCUUUGUGUGCUUUUUGGAAACUCUAAGGGAUUAGCUGAGUAUUUGAUAGUAUUUAUUGUAGCUUUGAAGCUCCUAGGAAUUACACAUUUUAUAAUUUGGGAUAUAUUGGAAAAUAUCUGAGCAUAUACUAUAUUAAUAAGGAAACUAAUAUUUAGAUUUCUACUUUUUACUUCGAAUUCGAGCAUUUUGUUUCUUGUGAUUAAAGAUAUUCAUAAAGACAAUGUAUCAAGAAAAAAAAUGCUAUUUGGGCAGUUUGUCAGUCCUUCAUUGAUGCCUCAUAGGCAUCCCAUACAUCAUGCUUGUAUGAGGAUAGUCAGGGUUGUGAUGCUGAUAAGGGUGAUUAUGAGGGGAGUGAUGAAGAAAUACAGUUAUGAAAGGUUGCCAUUUUUGUUGUUUUUUAUAGCUCAUAUCCAGUUUUUCAUGCCAUUGUUCUUGGAUGCCUUAAAGGUGCAAGAUGCUGUGGGUUGUUUACUGGAUACUUACAAGGUGCAAAAUGCUGUGAGGAUACAGAUAAACAUACAAGUUUUAACAGGCUGAGAGAAAGAUAUAUUUGCCUCUUCACCUUCUGUGUGGGAAAUUACAUUGGCUAAGAUGUGUAUGCUUAAGUCAAAGGUGAGGAUAACUGGUGGAAACCCCACAUGCCUCUGUGAUGUUUGAAGAGAAAUAGAGAAAGAACCUUAGCAUCUUGGCUGGAUUGGCUGUCUUGAAUUUCUAGAAGAAUCUGGGUAAAAGUUGCACAGGAUGGGCAGUCAAAAUUAUUUGAGAAGAAGACUUGGAUUAAGAAAAGAUUUAUGGACCCAGUGAUGUCAGUGGAAAAAUAUCUCUUGGACAAUGAGGCUGAAGUCCUUUCUUUUAAAAAUAAAU